rnacentral:tRNA from 1 species
GCGAGAGUGGUGGAAUUGGCAGACACGCCGGCUUUAGGUGCCGGUGCUCGAAAGAGCUUGGGGGUUCGAGUCCCCCCUCUCGCA